AAAAGAAACAAAACAGAAACACCGUACAACGUCGUCUUCUAUUCCUCUUCUCCAAUUGAACGAGAAUUAAGUGUGAAUAAGAAGAAUCAAUCUCGUCGACAAGUGAACAAGAAUCAAUCUCGUCGACAAUUGAACAAGAAUCAAUCUCGUCACCGGCCCGAGACUGCCCUCCCUUUCCGGUUCUGCCUUCAGCUCCGAGUUCGACUCGUCCCCUUGUACCGAAGGGGCACCAAAAGCCCCUUGUUCUUCACGCUCUCUGCUUGUCGGUCGGGGCGCCAAGCCGCCGCUGCUGUCUGCCUUGCCUGAGUAAAUCGAUCUGCCCCCACUCGAGCUCGAGGUCAGCUGCUGCUGCUGAUACUCCCUCCCCUCCCAGGCGGGCCUUGGCGGCAGUAGCAGAGGAUGGAGCAAGACCUCGACAGCCUCGACCAUCAGAGCAUUAGUAAGGAGCCUUGGAUGUUGUUGUGGUUGUCCUCUUUAUAACUCGGUGUCAUAAAUUUUAGUUGGGAAGCUCAUCUCAACUCUCUCUUUGUCAUGUUCAUCGACAAGAAGAAAAAGGAUGAAGAAAGAAGAAUUUUAUUUUUCAUACUUCUUACUUUGUAACUACCACCUUGUAUGUAAGGUGCAAUUGAUAAGACAAUAGUACCCCUUAUUCACAAUUCUUACUUCUUAUUUUUCUUA